rnacentral:miRNA from 1 species
AGGACUUGCCAACUGUCCUGGUUUGCCUGGGAGUGAGGGGUCUCCUGGGACACAGGAUGGUCAGAACUCAAACCUGGUUUAGGGUAUUACA